CGCUGUGACGCUCAAACGCCUCCACUUGAGCGGAAGUGCGUCAGUGGUCCGUGUGACCAGUGGACUCCAGAGCUCACGAUGGCUUCCAGACUUCUUGUGCAGAGAGUUUGUUGUGUAUUAGUGCGAGAUCUCUGUCGUCGGCCCAUCUCAGUCACAUGUUCUUCAUCAUACUCCUCCUCUCUGACCACGUCUGCUGCCGCGCAGCCGUUUCUCUCUCGCGCGCUCCCACGCAGCUCUUGCAGGAGUGUGUCGUUUAAUGUGCAGGACCACGACGACUUCACCGAGAGAGUCAUCAACAGCCAGCUGCCCGUGCUCAUAGACUUCCAUGCACAGUACGUAUUAAACAUCAUCACACACACUAACUAUCAGUGUUCGUUCACAGUCAUUUUUAUGCGUUUUUGUUUUCAUAUGCUGUUUGUUCAUUGCUUCAGUCUGUUGUGUUUGUUUGUAAAUAUGUUAUACACUUCCACUACAGUUUUCUCGUAUCCCAGAUUAAUAUGCAGUCAAUAAUAAGUGAUGCAUGUGUAAUUGCAGUGCAUUUCAAAUAAAAAUGUAACACUGGUUCACUGUCAAAACAUUGCGCUGUUUGUUUGAUCGGCCUGUCCAGCCCGACACCGUAACAUUGACUCGAUCAAAGGUGUGAGUUUGUGGACAGGUAUCUCUUUGGACAACCAAUGGCGGACGGGGGACUUUCCUGCAAUGUGUUUGAAGUGUAUUUGGUGCAGAAAUGACACACUUGAGCUUUAAAUGAAGUACAUUUCUUGGACGUCAUCCUGCUAAGAAAGCCUGCAGUUACUACAAAUAAAAUGUGAUUGUUUGUUUGUUUAAUUUGUUUGUGUUAUAGGUGGUGUGUGUUUGUUUGUGUUAUAGGUGGCGUGUGUAUGUUUAUUUGUUUGUGUUAUAGGUGGCGUGUGUUUGUUUAUUUGUUUGUGUUAUAGGUGGUGUGUGUUUGUUUAUUUGUUUGUGUUAUAGGUGGCGUGUGUUUGUUUAUUUGUGUUAUAGGUGAUGUGUGUUUGUUUAUUUGUGUUAUAGGUGAUGUGUGUUUGUUUAUUUGUGUUAUAGGUGAUGUGUGUUUGUUUGUUUGUGUUAUAGGUGGUGUGUAUUUGUUUGUUUGUGUUAUAGGUGGUGUGUGUUUGUUUGUUUGUGUUAUAGGUGGUGUGUGUUUGUUUAUUUGUUUGUGUUAUAGGUGGUGUGUGUUUGUUUAUUUGUUUGUGUUAUAGGUGGCGUGUGUUUGUUUAUUUGUGUUAUAGGUGAUGUGUGUUUGUUUGUUUGUGUUAUAGGUGAUGUGUGUUUGUUUGUUUGUGUUAUAGGUGGUGUGUAUUUGUUUGUUUGUGUUAUAGGUGGUGUGUGUUUGUUUGUGUUAUAGGUGAUGUGUGUUUGUUUGUGUUAUAGGUGGUGUGUGUUUGUUUAUUUGUUUGUGUUAUAGGUGGCAUGUGUUUGUUUGUUUGUUUGUGUUAUAGGUGGUGUGUGUUUGUUUGUUUGUGUUAUAGGUGGCAUGUGUUUGUUUGUGUUAUAGGUGGCGUGUGUUUGUUUGUUUGUGUUAUAGGUGGCGUGUGUUUGUUUGUUUGUUUGUGUUAUAGGUGGCGUGUGUUUGUUUAUUUGUUUGUGUUAUAGGUGGCGUGUGUUUGUUUGUUUGUUUGUGUUAUAGGUGGCGUGUGUUUGUUUGUUUGUUUGUGUUAUAGGUGGCGUGUGUUUGUUUGUUUGUGUUAUAGGUGGUGUGUGUUUAUUUGUUUGUUUAGUUAGUUUUAUUGUUUGUUUGUGUUAUAGGUGGUGUGUGUUUAUUUGUUUGUGUUAUUGGCAGUGUUUGUUUGUUUAGUUUGUUUUAUUGUUUGUUUGUGUUAUAGGUGGUGUGUGUUUAUUUGUUUGUGUUAUUGGCAGUGUUUGUUUGUUUAGUUUGUUUUAUUGUUUGUUUGUGUUAUAGGUGGCGUGUGUUUUAUUGUUUGUUUGUGUUAUAGGUGGUGUGUGUUUAUUUGUUUGUGUUAUUGGCAGUGUUUGUUUGUUUAGUUUGUUUUAUUGUUUGUUUGUGUUAUAGGUGGCGUGUGUUUUAUUGUUUGUUUGUGUUAUAGGUGGCGUGUGUUUUAUUGUUUGUUUGUGUUAUAGGUGGCGUGUGUUUUAUUGUUUGUUUGUGUUAUAGGUGGUGUGUGUUUGUUUGUGUUAUUGGCAGUGUUUGUUUGUUUAGUUUGUUUUAUUGUUUGUUUGUGUUAUAGGUGGUGUGUUUGUGUUAUUGACAGUGUUUGUUUGUUUAAUUUGUUUUAUUGUUUGUUUGUGUUAUAGGUGGUGUGUGUUUAUUUGUUUGUGUUAUUGGCAGUGUUUGUUUGUUUAGUUUGUUUUAUUGUUUGUUUGUGUUAUAGGUGGCGUGUGUUUUAUUGUUUGUUUGUGUUAUAGGUGGCGUGUGUUUUAUUGUUUGUUUGUGUUAUAGGUGGUGUGUGUUUGUUUGUGUUAUUGGCAGUGUUUGUUUGUUUAGUUUGUUUUAUUGUUUGUUUGUGUUAUAGGUGGUGUGUUUGUGUUAUUGACAGUGUUUGUUUGUUUAAUUUGUUUUAUUGUUUGUUUGUGUUAUAGGUGGUGUGGUCCCUGUAAAAUUCUCGGUCCACGGCUGGAGAAAGCCAUUGCCAAACAGAAGGGUCGAGUCGCCAUGGCCAAAGUUGACAUUGAUGAGCACACAGAUCUGGCCAUUGAGUACGGGGUGUCGGCUGUUCCCACGGUGAUAGCAAUGCGAGACGGUGAUGUCAUCGACCAGUUUGUGGGCAUCAAAGAUGAAGACCAGCUGGAUUCUUUUGUGCAGAAGAUAAUUGGACAGUGAAGCUGUCAGUCACUUGUUAAAGCCCGCCUCCCAUUGGACACAAGCUCCGUUACAUUACACACACACACACACACAUCUGUAUCCUGGAAUUUCUUUGCUUCUGCGCUGCUUUCAUUGUGUUUUCAUAAACUGUGUGUGUGUGUGUGUGUGUGUGUGUGUGGUCAUUCACUUCAGUUGUUUAUUGGACUGUCUGUUAAGUGUUUGGGACAGAGUUUACUGCAGUAGAAAUGUAGUAAAGUGUACUUGGACGUCCUGUAGCUGCUGUACUUUUGCAUUGGAGCAGAACUGAAUGAUCUUUCAGCUGGUAACAGUGUGUGACGCCGCUUCUACAGCUCAUCUGACCACAAGAGGGCGGCCUUCCUCUCGCGCCCGAGGCCACCGUUAUUAUGGGUGAAUCUCACAAAAACAUGUCUAGGUUAUAAUUCAUCUCAAAAUGAAAAUAAAUAUUUUGCUUCAAGAAAAUAAAGUCUAAUUUUAGGACCCUUUUAAGAUUUGUAUCUGCAUUGUGACAUUAUUUUCAUGGCAAUUAAGCACAUUUAAACCUCAAAUUCAUAUUACUGUAAUACAAACAAAACAGUAUGCUGUUUAAAAAUGUUAAGUGUUUAUACAUCAUGGUAGUAUUUAAUUUACGCUGAUUUAAAUGUUAAAAUUUAGAAAUGAGAAAUCACCAUUUAGAAUGAAAUUGUCGGGACGCAUUACAGUAAUGACAGUUUGGGGAUAAAAUGUCACUAUGAUAAAUUAUGCCACAAUGCAACUUAAAUAGGCUGAAUUUUUCAUGAGCAAAAUUGCUUUUCUUUACUCUUUUGAUUUCGGGCUGAAAUAUGAGUUUUCAUGAGUUUCUCAGUAAAUUUACACCUGAAUGCCUACUAAUGUGAAUGUGUUUGAAUUACACAAGUGUGUUUUUUUAGUCUGUUUCUCAUUCUGUUUGGAUCUGACUGUGAAUUUAAAGCAGAGCGCAUGGACAGCUCAUAUAAACUGUAAUACGACCAACUCAAGUGAAAUUAUAAAUAAAGCAAGUAUUCAAUAUUUAA